AGCGGAGGAAAAGAAACUAACAAGGAUUCCCCUAGUAACUGCGAGUGAAGCGGGAAAAGCUCAAAUUUAAAAUCUGGCAGUCUUUUGGCUGUCCGAGUUGUAAUCUAGAGAAGUGUUAUCCGUGCUGGACCAUGUACAAGUCUCCUGGAAUGGAGCAUCAUAGAGGGUGAGAAUCCCGUCUUUGACAUGGACUUCCAGGGCUUUGUGAUGCGCUCUCAAAGAGUCGAGUUGUUUGGGAAUGCAGCUCAAAAUGGGUGGUAAAUUCCAUCUAAAGCUAAAUAUUGGCGAGAGACCGAUAGCGAACAAGUACCGUGAGGGAAAGAUGAAAAGAACUUUGGAAAGAGAGUUAAACAGUACGUGAAAUUGCUGAAAGGGAAACGCUUGAAGUCAGUCGCGUCGUCCAGGGAUCAACCUUGCUUUUGCUUGGUGCACUUCCUGGUUUGAUGGGUCAGCAUCAAUUUUGACUAUUGGAAAAAGGUUAAGGGAAUGUGGCAUCUUUGGAUGUGUUUAUAGCCCUUGGUCACAUACAAUGGUUGGGAUUGAGGAACUCAGCACGCCGCAAGGCCGGGUUUUAAACCACGUACGUGCUUAGGAUGCUGGCAAUAUGGCUUUAAUCGACCCGUCUUGAAACACGGACCAAGGAGUCUAACAUGCCUGCGAGUGUUUGGGUGAAAAACCCGAGCGCGUAAUGAAAGUGAAAAGUUGAGAUCCCUGUCGUGGGGAGCAUCGACGCCCGGACCAGACCUUUUGUGACGGUUCCGCGGUAGAGCAUGUAUGUUGGGACCCGAAAGAUGGUGAACUAUGCCUGAAUAGGGUGAAUCCAGAGGAAACUCUGGUGGAGGCUCGUAGCGAUUCUGACGUGCAAAUCGAUCGUCAAAUUUGGGUAUAGGGGCGAAAGACUAAUCGAACCAUCUAGUAGCUGGUUCCUGCCGAAGUUUCCCUCAGGA
rnacentral:rRNA from 1 species